UAACCUCCCAGGCUAACUGGCCCCCAGGCUGGGAUAGGCGAGUAUCUUUUAGAAAGGCUCACCCUCAAGCACAAUCAGGAGC
rnacentral:pre_miRNA from 1 species